rnacentral:rRNA from 1 species
GACGAACGCUGGCGGCGUGCUUAACACAUGCAAGUCGAACGGAAAGGCCCUGCUUGUGUGGGGUGCUCGAGUGGCGAACGGGUGAGUAACACGUGAGUAACCUGCCCUUGACUUUGGGAUAACUUCAGGAAACUGGGGCUAAUACCGGAUAGGAGAUCCUGCUGCAUGGUGGGGGUUGGAAAGUUGCGGCGGUCGGGGAUGGACUCGCGGCUUAUCAGCUUGUUGGUGGGGUAGUGGCUUACCAAGGCUUAGACGGGUAGCCGGCCUGAGAGGGUGACCGGCCACAUUGGGACUGAGAUACGGCCCAGACGCCUACGGGAGGCAGCAGUGGGGAGUAUUGCACAAUGAGAGGAAGCGUGAUGCAGCAGCGCCGCGGGCGGGAUGACGGCCUUCGGGUUGUAAACCGCUUUCGCCUGUGACGAAGCGUGAGUGACGGUGAUGGGUAAAGAAGCACCGGCUAACUACGUG